rnacentral:rRNA from 1 species
GAGUGGCGGACGGGUGAGUAACACGUGGGUAACCUGCCCUUAAGUGGGGGAUAACAUUUGGAAACAGAUGCUAAUACCGCAUAAACCUCAGAAACACAUGUUUCUGAGUUGAAAGGCGGCUUUCGAGCUGUCGCUUUUGGAUGGACCCGCGGCGUAUUAGCUAGUUGGUGAGGUAAAGGCUCACCAAGGCAGUGAUACGUAGCCGACCUGAGAGGGUGAUCGGCCACAUUGGGACUGAGGCACGGCCCAAACUCCUACGGGAGGCAGCAGUAGGGAAUCUUCCACAAUGGACGAAAGUCUGAUGGAGCAACGCCGCGUGAGUGAAGAAGGUUUUCGGAUCGUAAAGCUCUGUUGUAAGAGAAGAACGUGUGUGAGAGUGGAAAGUUCACACAGUGACGGUAACUUACCAGAAAGGGACGGCUAACUACGUGCCAGCAGCCGCGGUAAUACGUAGGUCCCGAGCGUUGUCCGGAUUUAUUGGGCGUAAAGCGAGCGCAGGCGGUUUAAUAAGUCUGAAGUUAAAGGCAGUGGCUUAACCAUUGUUCGCUUUGGAAACUGUUAGACUUGAGUGCAGAAGGGGAGAGUGGAAUUCCAUGUGUAGCGGUGAAAUGCGUAGAUAUAUGGAGGAACACCGGUGGCGAAAGCGACUCUCUGGUCUGUAACUGACGCUGAGGCUCGAAAGCGUGGGGAGCAAACAGGAUUAGAUACCCUGGUAGUCCACGCCGUAAACGAUGAGUGCUAGGUGUUAGGCCCUUUCCGGGGCUUAGUGCCGCAGCUAACGCAUUAAGCACUCCGCCUGGGGAGUACGACCGCAAGGUUGAAACUCAAAGGAAUUGACGGGGGCCCGCACAAGCGGUGGAGCAUGUGGUUUAAUUCGAAGCUACGCGAAGAACCUUACCAGGUCUUGACAUCUUGCGCCAACCCUAGAGAUAGGGCGUUUCCUUCGGGAACGCAAUGACAGGUGGUGCAUGGUCGUCGUCAGCUCGUGUCGUGAGAUGUUGGGUUAAGUCCCGCAACGAGCGCAACCCUUGUUACUAGUUGCCAGCAUUAAGUUGGGCACUCUAGUGAGACUGCCGGUGACAAACCGGAGGAAGGUGGGGACGACGUCAGAUCAUCAUGCCCCUUAUGACCUGGGCUACACACGUGCUACAAUGGACGGUACAACGAGCAGCGAACUCGCGAGGGCAAGCAAAUCUCUUAAAACCGUUCUCAGUUCGGAUUGCAGGCUGCAACUCGCCUGCAUGAAGUCGGAAUCGCUAGUAAUCGCGGAUCAGCAUGCCGCGGUGAAUACGUUCCCGGGCCUUGCACACACCGCCCGUCA